rnacentral:misc_RNA from 1 species
GUUGAAGAACGUAGCGAAAUGCGAUAAGUAAUGUGAAUUGCAGAAUUCCGUGAAUCAUCGAAUCUUUGAACGCACAUUGCGCCCCCUGGUAUUCCGGGGGGCAUGCCUGUCCGAGCGUCAUUGCAACCUUCAAGCGCGGCUUGUGUGUUGGGUCUCGUCCCCCGUGGACGGGCCCGAAAGGCAGUGGCGGCGUCCCGACAUGGUGCCCGAGCGUAUGGGAAUCCUCUUCCGCUCGAAUCGGCCCAUGCGGCGCUGGUCGUAACCAAAUUUUUUACCGGUUGACCUCGGAUCAGGUAGGGAUACCCGCUGAACUUAAGCAUAUCAAUAAGCGGAGGA